GUUUGAUCUCCUUUCAGUCUAAGGGACUCUCAAAUAAGAUGAGUCCUGCACUUUAAAAAAUAAUCUUAUAUUUUCAUAUAAUUUUAUCUGUGACUGUGCUGAGUCUUUGCUGCUGCAGGACUUCCCUCUGAUGCGGCGAGCGGGGUUAGUCUCUCGUUGUGGGGCGUGGGGUCUCUCACUGGGGCGGCUUCUCUCGCUGUGGAGCAAGGGCUCUAGGGCGUGAGUUGAUAGCUGCGGCUCCCAGGCUUUUGAGCCCGGGCUCAGUUGUGGCGCAUGGGUUCAGUUGUUCCACAUCAUGUGGGAUCUCCCUGGAUCAGGGACCAGACCCGUGUCUCCUGCAUUUGAAGGUGGGUUCUUUACUACUGAGCCACCAGGGAAGCCCCCAAUCCUAUAUUUCUUCAAAUGUGUUUGCAAGAUACCAGGAUUACAAGUUAAUUUUCCAAAACAGUUAAUUCUUCUGUUGACACGUUUUGACUGUGAUUUUAGUGAUCUUUGCUAAUAGACAAAAGCUCAUGUACCUUGCAUGCUUCAUUAUUUAUAAUAAGAUCCUAAAAGGUGAGUUUAACCUUGGAUUUAUUUCAUGAAAGUUAUAAAAUUUGCUGUAGGAAACUGGAUCUACUGCUGUGGCAGAUAGAUCAAGAAAUCAAACAUUUAUUCCUUUAUAAAAAGCACCUGACAAGGGAUAAAACAGUAAGUUUAAAGAGGCUGAGUAAGAUUGGCAGUUUGAAUCUGUCAGGAAAGUUUUUCCAUUUUAUCUAAGUGGUCAAACUUUUUGGCCUGAGGCUCACAGUAUUCUGCUUAAUAACUGUAGUGAUGUCAUCUCUGUCAUUCCAGGUAUUUGUAACUGGAAUAUUUUCUUUCAUGUUGUCUGAGUGAAGAUAUAUUGGGUUUACUGACCUGCUUUUAUAUUUGUUUCCUGUUGAUUUCUAUUCUUCAUUUCCAUUAUUAUGCUACCUCUGGGUUUCAUUGUGCUUCAUCUUCUAGUCUGAUAAAGGCGAGACUGAAGCCAUUGAGAGCUUUAUUUUACAAUUUAGUGAUGUUUCCUUCUAAGUAAUCCGUCAGCUGCUUUCCAUGCGUUUUGAUUGUUGUGUUACAAGUUUCAAUCCAAAAUGCUUUCUAUUUUGCCUUUUAACCCAUGGGUUACUAAAAAUUGCGCUAUUUAGAUUCAAAUAUUUAAGAGUUCUCCAACUAUCUUACUGAUUUCUGCCCGCCAGAGAUGAAACGAGUGAAAGCACAGCUGUGAGCUGCUAAUCUGAUGAGCCUGAGCACCAAGUCCAGCGUACCUGAGGCUGUGACGUACAUGCUCUGCAUCUUUCACUUCUAAGAGCUAAUAAAUACAUUUUUCCUAAGCUGAUUUGAAUUGGGUUUCUAUCAGAGUCCUGAUUACAGUUGCUUUAGUUUUAUUUGUAAAUUUACUAACUUUAUAUGCUCCCUGAGUCUUCAUGAAAGGAUUUAAUUCAUCCCACCAAGUGGGUUAUAAUAGCUCCUCUGAUGUGUUUUAACUUCAAAUACAACUAACCUACAUUUCUUCUAUCGACUUUAGACAGAUCUCCUGAAUCCUCUCCACGUACCAUGACCAUAUUGCCCCUUGUCCUUGCUUCAAGCUGUUAUUUCCCUGUCAGCCUCCCACCAUCCAGUCUAUCAGCUGUAUUUUGCCUUUAUGUUAUUAAAUAGAUAUUAGACACUGUGUGUAUGUAUGUGUGUAUACAUAUACACACAGACAGAGACUUCAGUGAUUUGUCUAUCUUAAAGCUGGAAAUAAGGGGCUUCCCUUGUGGCUAGGCUGGUAAAGAAUCCACUGCAAUGCAGGAGACCUGGGUUUGAUCCCUGGGUUGGGAAGAUGCCCUGGAGAAGGUAAAGGCUACCCACCCCAGUAUUCUGGCCUGGAGAUUUCUGUGGACUAUACAGUACAGUCCAUGGGGUCUGUUAUACACAUACAUAUACAUACAUACAGAGACUUCAGGGAUUUGUCUAUUUUAAAGUUGGAAGUAAAACAGCAUUAGAUCAUUAUCACUGUAUAAAUAUUAUUCUCUUAAGAGGCAGAGCCAAGCAUUGGUGAGGAUUACAUUUCCUCCUCUAUAAGUCCAGUGUUAUGAUCCCAGUACUCACUUAAAAUUUUUUCCCCCCAUAUUCUGUUUCCAAAGUCAUGUCACAUUUUAUGGGGCUUGGUUUAUGUUAGGACCAUGAUAUCUGGUAUGGCUUCUCCUUUGUUUUUUCCCAAGCCAAUAAUUGUCUGUCUUUCCUUCUGAUGAAUGUUUGUUUUCACCAUAUUACAGAAAUCCUCAAAUUCUGUGUUAAUACUAUUUAAUGUAACCCAUUCCUUCCUUUCUCCCUGGUUUCUCUUCACUGACUCCCUGGAUAUCUAGCCUACCAGUAAUUUGGUCUGAUUUUUACAGUGAUUAUCCUAGUCACCCUCAACACCACUUUACUAGGUUAGAUCCACUGUUUAAAGCCUUUUCUGUUUUUUUCCUUUUCCAUCCAGAUUUUGCUAAAGUGAAUCAUUCACUCCCCUACUGAAAGACAAGUGGGAGUAAACUGAAGCAAAGUGUACACACAGAAUAUCAGUAUUUGGCCGCAUGUCUCACUACCGUCUGGUAUAAACUUCUAGGUUCAAAGCAGUUCCAAGCCCCAAGUUGGGAGCUGCUGUCCUGUAUUCUACAAUCUAACAUUGCUCAUUGGAGGGAAGGCUAAUUCUCUCGAUCAUUUUUAUUAGGAGAAAUUCAUGUUUUUUGAAAGCUUUUAGGAUAGUGUCCUCUUUAGUGUUACAGAAUUCCACAAGCAUAUUUCUGGGUGUCUUUUUAAAAUUUUUUCUAUUAUAAUAUGGUUUUUGCCAGUUCAGCCUGCCCAACAUUCAAGUGAGCUAUUCCUAGCUGAGCAUUCAUAACUUUCUUCAGUUUAGAAAGAUUCUUAAUCCUUUGACACAGUCCUAUUUUAUUUUCUCUAUUAUUAUUAUUUUUGUGUGUGUGUAUGUGUUGUGGAACUCAUAUUAACUAGACAGGCCUUCUAUUAGACUUCCAAGUUUCUUUUCUCAUUUUCUCCCACAUUUAUGAAAUUGAAGAAUUUCCACAACUUUCUUUGAAAUCUUCUAUUAUAACAGUAAUUUUUUUUAUUCUUAGGAGUUAUUUCUUUUUGGUAGCUUCUCAUAUUUGCUUUAAAAGUGUAACAUCUAUUCCAAUCUCAAAUGUACAUUUUUAGCUUUAUUCUCAUUAUAUAACUUCACCUACUCCAGGUUUAGUCUGUCACUUGAUCCUCAUCAUGCUGAUAACUCUUCAUCAUCUGUGAUGAUCCUCAGCUGUCUGUUCACAUUUGAGAAUGAUACUGUUUGAUUCUCCUAGGUAGACAGCAGGUCUUUGGUUAUUCUCACUAUAGAUCUGUUUCGCUGAAUGAAGCGAUUUACUGGGAUUUCGGUGUGCCUGGGAAGGGCUGGAGAGAUGAUGAGAUUCUCCAAAUUCCAGGAAAGGUUUCAACUUAGGCUACCAACUCUCAUUCUAGUUGCUCUAGUUCCCCAUAAGUUCAUUGAAUUUUUUCAAUUUGUUUUAAUGAUAACAUUCUUAUUUAAAACAUUACAGAUAAUGAUAAAUCUACCCUCUUGACUGGAAUGUCCAAUUCCAGGUCCCUCUGCAAAACACUUAUAAAUUUGACGUGUCUGUUCAGGACUUACUAUUUCUGUGUAUUUGCAUAGUUAUAGAAAUGUAUUAGAAAUGUAUUUUAAACAUAUAACCUCUAUUACUCUGCAAGUUUUUAAUCAGUGCCCUUUUGUCAAAUCCUUAUCAAUAUUACCAGUCCAUUCUUUUAAACUGGUCUAUUUCUCUACUGAUGAAAAUUUAGAUAGUUCUCAGUUUCAUGUACUAACCAUACUGCCCUCUGAAGAGGUUAGUUAAUGUUUUUAACAACUUCAGUGCCUCCAGAGCGGCACUGAUGAGUAGUUAUUUCUCUAUACAACUGCCAGGUUUUUAAAAUUAGAUUAUUUAAAUUUGCAUCUCUUACUACUAGCAAGGUUAAGUGGGGACUCAGUGUUGGCAUUCUGCAUUUCUUCUGAUUUGUCCAUUAUUAUCCUUUGUUCAUCUUUAUUCUCAAUUGGUUGUCCUUUACCUAUUUAUAGGUAUUCUUAUUUACAUCUUUCCUUUUGUAUUUUAUUACAGCCUUUUCCCAUUCUGUUUGUCUUUUUAGAAGCAGGCUGCAGUCCAUGGGAUUGCAGUUGGACAAGACUUAGUGACUGAACAACUACUUUAGAUAAAAUCAACUUCAUUAAUCUUUACUUUGUGGCUUUCGUUUUUGUCUAGUUUAGGAAGAUAUGUCCAACAGCAAAGUCGUAAGCAUAUCCUAUUAUGUUUUCUUCCAAUACUUUACUAUUUAACAUUUAGGAUUUUAUUCAACUAGAACUGAUCUUUCUGAAUGGUGUGAAAAAAGGAUCCAAUUUACUUUACUUACAGAAGAGUAUAAUGGGAAAGCUUUGGUAAGGAUACUAACAUAACUUUCACAUGAAAAGUCAUGAACUGGCUUGUCACUGUCCCCCAGCCUCUACACAAGCCAGCUUACAGCAUGAGUCUCUCUUGGGACCUUUGGACAGACUGACUUCCCAUUACUGAAGUCCCUGUCAGGCAAACGCUUCAGGUCACAGCUGUUUCUGCUACAUUUCACGAAUAAGCAAUUUUUUCCCUUUUGUCUUUAACAAAAUUUGAUUAUUUUCUGAUACCUUUUAAAUUGUUUUAUCUGUUGUAGGAUAUGGAAGGAUAAACUUGUAUAUUUAAUUGCAAAAGCAAGCCUUGAAAAUUCUGAUAUUGACAGUGAAAUUUCAGGGAAAAUUCUGAUAUUGACGUCACCUUUACAUCAGUACACAGAAGUACCUCCUCUCCUAUGCUUUUUGAGUGCACAUUUUAUCAAUCUGAUAUUGAAAGAUGGUAGUUCACUUAACGAUCCUUGUAAGAGUCAGUACUUAUCAUUUUUAUCAGUUACCUCUUUAUACCCCUUACCCAUAAGGGAAGGAGGUGUCAUUUUCUAAAUGAUUUGUAAGAGUACUUUGUUAAGGAUAUGAAUCUCAUAGCUUAAACAUAUUUUACUAAUUUUUAAAAAUUCUGUUUAAAAACCUUUUGUACUAUCUUUGACUAUAAAAAGCUCAUUAAAGUUUUUAUAUAGUCAAACCUAGAAUACAUGUGUGUGGUUUCUGGAUCUCAUGUUGUAUUUAGGGAGAUUGUUUUCCAUGAUUAUGUAUGGUAUCCUCUAAUGACUCUGUUUUGCAUUUGGAUAAAAGAAUGGGACAGUUGUUUUGUACAGAAAUAAUUUUGAGCAGAAUCUCAAAUACCAAUACUGUUAAGCUACUGACAGUGAACUAUCACCUUUAUUAUAUAUUUCCUUUAUGUGUAUAUCUAUUGUGAAUGUUUAUGUGUGUGUGUUGACAAACACGGUGUUUCAGGCCUUAAAUUCUUAGGAUUUUGUUAGGUACAAAGAAUCAAUAGAUUAAUUUGGGGCUUACUAACAUCUGUGUAAUACUGAAUCUUCCCUUACAGAAGGAUAAAAUGUCUGUUCUUCUCAUCCUCCAUUAAACUUUAGUCAUUUUCUUUGUACUUAAUAGUCACAUGAGAAUUGGUUCCAGCACUGAUUGCACAAAGUCUUCAGGAGUCAGGAAAUAAUAAAGUGUAAAACAAGUCAGAUGUAAGUCAACAGGUAGUGGUUUGAACUGUGGAAAAGUGGAAAACAAAUGCCCAUCUAAAGGUAUUCAUUUUAAAUUUCACACAAACAUGUUUAUGAGUUUUGACCUAUAGUUUUGAUUUCUUUUCCCUCUGGUCUUGGAAUUACAGAUUACAACCUAACACUUUUUCUAUUUAAAUGACAUGGAUUUAACACGAUUCAUCAACGUGGAAUUAGGAGCGGUAUUUACCUAAGAGAAAUGAAAAUGUACGUCCAUACAAAGUCCUGUACAUGCCCACUUCAUACUGCCCACGCUGGAAACGACCCAAAGAUGCAUCAGUAGGUAAGUGGAAAAACGAAAAUGUGGAAUGUCUGCA